UCCUAACUCUGGCGGCGUGCUUAACACAUGCAAGUCGAACGGAAAGGCCCCCUUGUGGGGUACUCGAGUGGCGAACGGGUGAGUAACACGUGAGUAACCUACCCUUGACUUUGGGAUAACUUCAGGAAACUGGGGCUAAUACCGGAUAGGAGCUCCUGCUGCAUGGUGGGGGUUGGAAAGUUUCGGCGGUUGGGGAUGGACUCGCGGCUUAUCAGCUUGUUGGUGGGGUAGUGGCUCACCAAGGCUUUGACGGGUAGCCGGCCUGAGAGGGUGACCGGCCACAUUGGGACUGAGAUACGGCCCAGACUCCUACGGGAGGCAGCAGUGGGGAAUAUUGCACAAUGGGCGGAAGCCUGAUGCAGCAACGCCGCGUGCGGGAUGACGGCCUUCGGGUUGUAAACCGCUUUCGCCUGUGACGAAGCGUGAGUGACGGUAAUGGGUAAAGAAGCACCGGCUAACUACGUG
rnacentral:rRNA from 1 species